UGGGGAAUUUUGGACAAUGGGCGAAAGCCUGAUCCAGCAAUGCCGCGUGUGUGAAGAAGGCCUUCGGGUUGUAAAGCACUUUUGUCCGGAAAGAAAUCCUCUGGGUUAAUACCUCGGGGGGAGUGACGGUACCGGAAGAAUAAGCACCGGCUAACUACGUGCCAGCAGCCGCGGUAAUACGUAGGGUGCAAGCGUUAAUCGGAAUUACUGGGCGUAAAGCGUGCGCAGGCGGUUUUGUAAGACGGAUGUGAAAUCCCCGGGGCUUAACCUGGGAACUGCAUUCGUGACUGCAAGGCUAGAGUAUGGCAGAGGGGGGUUAGAAUUCCACGUGUAGCAGUGAAAUGCGUAGAGAUGUGGAGGAAUACCGAUGGCGAAGGCAGCCCCCUGGGCCAAUACUGACGCUCAUGCACGAAAGCGUGGGGAGCAAACAGGAUUAGAUACCCUGGUAGUCCACGCCCUAAACGAUGUCAACUAGUUGUUGGGGAUUCAUUUCCUUAGUAACGUAGCUAACGCGUGAAGUUGACCGCCUGGGGAGUACGGUCGCAAGAUUCAAAACUCAAAUGAAUUGACGGGGUCAUAGCUGUUUCCU
rnacentral:rRNA from 1 species